AACGAACGCUGGCGGAAUGCUUUACACAUGCAAGUCGAACGGCAGCACGGACUUCGGUCUGGUGGCGAGUGGCGAACGGGUGAGUAACGUAUCGGAACGUAUCCAAUAAUGGGGGAUAACUAAUCGAAAGGUUGGCUAAUACCGCAUACGCCCUACGGGGGAAAGCUAGGGACCUUCGGGCCUGGCGUUAAUGGAGCGGCCGAUAUCUGAUUAGCUAGUUGGUGGGGUAAAGGCCCACCAAGGCGACGAUCAGUAGCUGGUCUGAGAGGACGAACAGCCACACUGGAACUGAGACACGGUCCAGACUCCUACGGGAGGCAGCAGUGGGGAAUUUUGGACAAUGGGCGCAAGCCUGAUCCAGCCAUUCCGCGUGAGUGAAGAAGGCCUUCGGGUUGUAAAGCUCUUUCGCAAGGGAAGAAACGAUAGUGACGAAUAAUCACUGUUAAUGACGGUACCUUGAUAAGAAGCACCGGCUAACUACGUGCCAGCCGCCGCCGUAAGAC
rnacentral:rRNA from 1 species